rnacentral:rRNA from 1 species
UACAGAGGAGCCAAGCGUUGUCCGGAUUGACUGGGCGUAAAGCGCACGCAGGCGGUCGUGCGCGUGGGGUGUGAAAUCUGGCCGCUUAACGGCCAGGCGCCAUCCCAUACGGCACGACUGGAGGGCUGCAGAGGUCGAUGGAAUUGCCGGUGUAGUGGUGAAAUGCGUAGAGAUCGGCAGGAACACCCAGGGGGAAACCAGUCGACUGGGCAGCACCUGACGCUGAGGUGCGAGAGCGUGGGGAGCGAACAGG